rnacentral:rRNA from 1 species
UACGUAGGGGGCAAGCGUUGUCCGGAUUUAUUGGGCGUAAAGAGCGUGUAGGCGGCCAAGCAGGUCCGCUGUGAAAACUCGAGGCUCAACCUCGAGACGUCGGUGGAAACCGUUUGGCUAGAGUCCGGAAGAGGAGAGUGGAAUUCCCGGUGUAGCGGUGAAAUGCGCAGAUAUCAGGAGGAACACCGAUUGCGAAGGCAGCUCGCUGGGACGUGACUGACGCUGAGACGCGAAAGCGUGGGGAGCAAACAGG